UUCAGUUACCAUCGUGUCAAUAUCAAGUUACUUGGGUUUGUUUGCAGCAGAUGUAUCUGAACUCUUUGAAUGCAGUUGUUCCUGCCGCUGCCAUUGGGGCUCAUGUAGUGUUACCGAUAGCUCCUGUGUCUAUAGAGGAGAUCUUUGUGAUUUGUGUUCACAAGAAUGUCCAAUCUGCCGAGAACAGACUACAUUAUGUCAAAUAAGUCCUCCAACUUGCCCUCCCUGUCAAUAUUCAAGUACAUCUCCAAUAAAUUGUACAGGUUCUACAUCUGAGAUUAUUUAUGCUACAAACACAG